GACGAACGCUGGCGGCGUGGAUUAGGCAUGCAAGUCGAACGGUAUCAUCCUUUCGGGGGUGAGAGAGUGGCGAACUGGUGAGUAACACGUAGGUUAUCUACCCUCAAGACGGGGACAACCCAGGGAAACUUGGGCUAAUACCGGAUGUGAGCAACUUUUAGUUGUUUGAAAGGUGGCGUAAGCUGUCGCUUGGGGAUGAGCCUGCGUCCUAUUAGUUAGUUGGUGAGGUAACGGCUCACCUAGGCAAUGAUAGGUAGGCGGCCUUAACGGGUGGUCGCCCCACACUGGGAUUGAGAUACGGCCCAGACUCCUACGGGAGGCAGCAGUCGAGAAUAGUCUACAAUGGUCGGAAGACUGAUAGUGCGACGCCGCGUGAACGAUGAAUCCCUUCGGGUGUAAAGUUCUUUUAUAUGUGAGCAGUGCUUCUUAUAUUAACAGUUAAUGGGGAGAGAGGAUAUUAGCAUAAUGAAUAAGCAACGGCUAACUCCGUGCCAGCAAGCCGCGGUAAACU
rnacentral:rRNA from 1 species